UCUUUAUUUACUUUUCUAAAGAUUACUUGUGUAUUUGAGCCAAUGUAAUCUAACAACGGCAAAUCAUAAUCCUU
rnacentral:tRNA from 1 species